AAAGCCCAUAGUCCUAGCACUUGAGAGUUGGAGGAGGCAGGAGGAUGAGAAGUUAAAGGACAGCCUGUUACGUAGUGAGUUGGAGACUGGUCUGAAGUCAGAAAGAAAAGUUACUUGUGUUAUUUUUAGGUGGUAGCCUCAGGUGAAGUUGGGAGAGCAUGUGAGACAGGAAGAAAGGGGGUUUGGGGCAGGGUUCUGUGCUUAGUGCCAGUUGAAGUCAGGGCUUUAACCUUCAGGCCUGGGCCUGUUUUACAUAGCUGGCCUCUUUUCAGGUGUCUCAACAGCCCUCAGGCUGUGUUUUGAAUUUCAAACUUUUCAUUCUUGGCCUUGCUCCCACCAGCUCUUGUGGGAGAACAUGCUCUCCAAACCUCAGGAAACAGAGAGGAGCAAGUACAUUUGCCUUAGGGUCUUGAGUGGUAUUUUGGUCCGAUUUCUGCUGUACCCCAGUUAUAAUCCUGGCCAUGUCUUCUCUGAGUCUGUUUCUUCGUCUCCAGUCUGAAGGCGUUUUCACUCCACACACUUAAGUGUUAAGGGUUAGAGCUGUGUGUGCUUUUUUUCUCUUGGGUCAUUUCUGUAGCUGUUAAAAGUGAAGGUAUGUGAUUUGCCAAAGGCAAGACAGAAUAGAAAAAUGCUAUUAUUACACAGUUGGACGGGGAGCCAAGGGCUAACCUUUGAAACUGGGAGACUGAAACCCUAUUUCCUAUAGGUCAGAGGGAAAUUUGAGGUAGGUGAGGGCUUGCUUGUAUGUUGAUCUUUCUUCUGUUCUUUUGUCCCCUGUAGGAGGCUCUGAGUUCUUGGUUGCAGGACGGUGUGGAUGGUUUCCAAGUUCGGGAUGUGGGAAAGCUGGCGGUAAGUGCUUUUUCUGUGUUGAGAGGCAAAAGGCUUUGGUGAGAAGAGUGGGUCUCAGCCAGGGCUAAGUGAUGUCCCCCGUUCUGACUCUGCUUUUUUCUACUAGAAUGCAUCCUUGUACUUGGCUGAGUGGCAGAAUAUCACCAAGAACUUCAGUGAGGACAGGCUUUUGAUUGCAGGGACCGCGUCCUCUGACCUGCAACAAAUUGUCAACAUACUUGAAUCCACCAGCGAUCUGCUGCUGACCAGCUCAUACCUGUCACAGCCCGUUUUCACUGGGGAGCAUGCAGAACUCCUAGUGAUUAAGUAUUUGAAUGCCACUGGCAGCCGCUGGUGCAGCUGGAGUGUGUCGCAGGCAGGACUCCUGA
rnacentral:lncRNA from 1 species